rnacentral:ncRNA from 2 species
CUCUUAUCCAGAGUGGUGGAGGGACUGGCCCUAUGAAACCCGGCAACCUAUGAAAUUCAUGAGGUGCUAAAUCCUGCAGAAUACUUCUGAUAGAUAAGAG